UGUACAUGACUACAUCUCAUGAAAUUGACAAUUCAAUCUUGUCGCCAGCCGUUGAUUGGCCAGAAUAUACUAUUACCACUGAUCAGAAAAUAUAGAACCUGGACAGAGCUUGUAUACACUGAUCACACCACCUGGGCAUCUGACAAAACCCUGUUCACUUAUUGGCCAAAAAUAGAUCACACCAUCGCCACUUGCAUGCAGGCCACAGUGUUUGCAUGACAGCUCACUAUUAAUAAUUUUUCUUUUUCACUGCUGUUCAGUUAAAAUUGUUACAAUACGCCUACUACUAUACAGUUGUGGCCAAGUUUUCAUGAAUAUUAAUCAGUUUCUCAUUUUCAUUAGCGUCGGUACAUGAAAACUUACAUCUUUCAAAGAAAUGUUUACUGAAUACUGUACCAACUGUUAUUCCAUCUGACCGGCGCGUUGUAACAUCGCCUUACUAGCAACGAUUAGCUCAGCGCUAACCACAAAAAAAACAACUAAAUAAAUAAAAAAAAAAAAUAAAUAAAAAAAAAAAAUUGUGUCCCUGAAGUAAUGCUAACCGGUACCCUUGGAGCACGAGUGUACAGCCACAGGAGAUUCUGAGGACUAUUUUGCUCCAGGAAGAGAAUUAAUAUUUUUAAGGUCUGUAUUACGUGGAAAUGAAUUAAGGCGGAACAUAUUUGAGAAUGGCUGCAUUGUAUAGCAGUAAUUUACAUAAAUUGUGUUCCUGUGUGUGUGUGAAGCUUGCUCUCAGACUCAGUAUACACUUGAAUUGAAAUAAAU